GUGUCAGCAGCCGCGGUAAUACGGAGGGCGCAAGCGUUGUUCGGAAUCACUGGGCGUAAAGCGCGUGCAGGCGGCUUGGUAAGUCGGGUGUGAAAUCCCGGAGCUCAACUCCGGAACUGCACCCGAUACUGCCUCGCUAGAGUCCCGGAGAGGAUGGCGGAAUUUCCGGUGUAGAGGUGAAAUUCGUAGAUAUCGGAAGGAACACCAGCGGCGAAGGCGGCCAUCUGGACGGUGACUGACGCUCAGACGCGAAAGCGUGGGGAGCAAACAGGAUUAGAUACCCUCGUAGUCC
rnacentral:rRNA from 1 species